rnacentral:rRNA from 1 species
GAGUACUAUGAAUGUUGUAAAUUUAAAACUCAAAGAACUUGGCGGUGUUUUAGACCACUCAGGGGAACCUGUCUCGUAAUCGACAAUCCACGUUGUACCUGACCUUUUUUUGUUUUCAGUUUGUAUACCGUUGUCGUCAGGUAACUUUUUAGAAUACAGAAGUUGGCUGGAAAAAUAGAUAAUUUAGUACGUCAAAUCAAGGUGCAGCUUAUAGAAAGGGGAGGAUGGGUUACAAUUAUUAAUUUAUAAUUACGAAUGAUUAUGUUAAAGUGUAAUGUUAGAAGGAGGACUUGAAAGUAAAUUGGAUUUAUAAAAAUAAAUUUGAAUAAGGCUCUGAAACGUGU